rnacentral:rRNA from 1 species
UACAGAGGGUGCAAACGUUGCUCGGAAUUACUGGGCGUAAAGCGCGUGUAGGCGGUUUUAUAAGUCCGAUGUGAAAGCCCAGGGCUCAACCCUGGAAGUGCAUUGGAUACUGUGAAGCUGGAGUCCUGAAGAGGAGAGCGGAAUUCCCGGUGUAGAGGUGAAAUUCGUAGAUAUCGGGAGGAACACCUGUGGCGAAGGCGGCUCUCUGGGCAGGUACUGACGCUGAGACGCGAAAGCGUGGGGAGCAAACAGG